rnacentral:misc_RNA from 1 species
CUGUUGCUCUACCAAGCAAAACCUGCACAGUCGAUAUGUAACUUCAGAAUUAAGCACAAAAAGAAAAGAAAGGGAAAAGGGGAAAGGGGCAGAGAGGAGGGUGGGGGGAGAAGAAAAGAAAAGGGCAUCAUAUUCAAGUUGCAUAGGUGUCAAAUAGGACUUGCCUAAUGCCUAUUAUUGCAAAUAUUCAAAUAGUUUAUUUUUAAAAUUUAGGUGGGCCUCCAAAUAGAUAAUUUAGAUGAGCAGUUAAUCCAAAUAUCAGUCAUGCUCCACUUAUGGCUUUCCAGGUGGAGAUAAUUAUUUGGAAGGGAAACAUUUUGAGAGGAAUUAAAAGAUUAUGAUUCCAUACAGCCAACAAAAAAAAAAAAAGGUCAAGCAAUCAAACAAGUUAAUUUCUUUCAGAUACCUCAAGUUAAUUUCUUUCAGAUACCU